CAAACUUAAUGUAGCACAUACCACAAUACAAAAUUUUUUGAAUAUCCCGCUCCCUAUAACAAAGCUUGAUGUCAUCGCGAUACCUAAUCUUUCAACAGUUCCUUAUAUCAGCGCAAGUGGUAUUCUGAUAGUUAGAGAGUCUGAAAUUGUAAAGAAAGAUGUAUUUGACAUUUCGCGGGAAUUAAUUUAUCAAUGGAUUGGUAUAUGGAUAACACCUGAAUGGUGGACUGAUGCUAAUGUAAAUAAAGCUCUAAUCAGUUUUAUUGCGUCAGAAAUCGUUUUUGAAAUAAAUGGCGGAAUAGAGUUUAAUGGUAAAUAUCCAAUGACAAUUCUUUACUCAUUGUACUAUGAGUUUAGCAAGAGGUAUCCCCACUUGCACAUAGCAGGAAUAAAACAUGAGUUUGCGUCAUUUAAAGUUCAGCUUAUAAUUCGAAUGAUUAGUCUAACCGUAGGAAAAUACACGUUUAGACUCGGAAUACAACGCUUUAUUAGUGACUACAAAUUUAAAACGUAUAAAAGCUCUGACUUCUGGAAUGCAAUCACGAUACAAGCUAAAUCAGAUGAUUCACUAGAUAGUAAUCUUAGUUUAAUAAGCAUUGCUGAGUCUUGGUUAAAGCAUGGCCGCCUACCUCUUGUCACAAUUAUAAGAGAUUACAAUUCAGAAACUGCAAUUGUUCAACAAAAGGUAUAUCUUAGAGAAAGGCCACACGAUAUACCCGACCAGGACAAGAUGCUUUGGUGGAUCCCCAUUACGUUAACGCGGGAAGACAGUCU
rnacentral:sRNA from 1 species